rnacentral:rRNA from 1 species
UGUCUUGCGCGGCGACCGGCUUAGUGCUGGCUCGUGUCCGCCAGAGACCCAACCUAAUUCGUGUUAUCGUGUGGUCUGAGGAAAAAGUAUUGAAUUGUUAAAACUUUCAACAACGGAUCUCUUGGCUCUGGCAUCGAUGAAGAACGCAGCGAAAUGCGAUAAGUAAUGUGAAUUGCAGAAUUUAGUGAAUCAUCGAAUCUUUGAACGCACAUUGCGCCCCUUGGUAUUCCGAGGGGCAUGCCUGUUCGAGCGCCGUCACCCCCCCCUCAAGCCGCGCCGUGUGUGUGGUUUUGGUGUUGGGGCUCGCCAGUCCGGCGGCCCUUAAAGACAGUGGCGGUGCCGUCGUGGUCUCUACGUGUAGUACGAUUCUCGCGACAGAGCCGCAGCGGCAGCUCGCCAAUUAAUCCUUUUAUUUUUUAAGGUUGACCUCGAAUCAGGUAGGGCUACCCGGUGAACUUAAGCAUAUCAAUUAGCGGAGGA